GAUGAACGCUGACAGAAUGCUUAACACAUGCAAGUCAACUUGAACUUCGGUUUGGGUGGCGGACGGGUGAGUAACGCGUAAAGAACUUGCCUCACAGCUAGGGACAACAUUUGGAAACGAAUGCUAUACCUGAUAUUAUGAUUAUAUGGCAUCGUAUAAUUAUGAAAGCUAUAUGCGCUGUGAGAGAGCUUUGCGUGACAUUAGCUAGUUGGAGAGGUAACAGCGCACCAAGGCGAUGAUGGGUAGCCGGCCUGGGAUGGUGAUCGGCCACAAGGGGACUGAGACACGGCCCUUACGCCUACGGGAGGCAGCAGUGGGGAAUAUUGGACAAUAGACCGAGAGUGUGAUCCAGCAAUUCUGUGUGCACGAUAAAGUUUUUCGGAAUGUAAAGUGCUUUCAGUUGGGAAGAAAAAAAUGACGGUACCAACAGAAGAAGUGACGGCUAAAUACGUG
rnacentral:rRNA from 1 species